AUCUUCCUAGUAUAAAGCUAAUACUGGUGACUUCCAAUCACUAAAUCCCUGUUAAAAUCCGGGGGAAGAUA
rnacentral:tRNA from 1 species